GACGAACGCUGGCGGCGUGCUUAACACAUGCAAGUCGAGCGGGUCUGCCCUGUUUUUUGCGGGGUGGGUCAGUGGCGAACGGGUGAGUAACACGUGAGUAACCUGCCCCUCACUUCUGGAUAACCGCUUGAAAGGGUGGCUAAUACGGGGUGUUCUGGCUGUGCCGCAUGGUGUGGCUGGGAAAGAUUCACUUUUGUGGUGUUUUGGUGGGGGAUGGGCUCGCGGCCUAUCAGCUUGUUGGUGGGGUGAUGGCCUGCCAAGGCUUUGACGGGUAGCCGGCCUGAGAGGGUGGGCGGUCACACUGGGACUGAGAUACGGCCCAGACUCCUGCGGGAGGCAGCAGGGGGGGGUAUUGCACAAUGGGCGGAAGCCUGAUGCAGCGACGUCGCGUGAGGGAUGGAGGCCUUCGGGUUGUGAACCUCUUUCGCCGGUGAAGAAGGUCCUGCUCUUUGUGGUGGGGUUGACGGUAGCCGGGUUAUGAAGCGCCGGCUAACUACGUG
rnacentral:rRNA from 1 species